rnacentral:rRNA from 1 species
UACGAAGGGGGCUAGCGUUGUUCGGAAUUACUGGGCGUAAAGCGUACGUAGGCGGAUUAGAAAGUUAGGGGUGAAAUCCCAGGGCUCAACCCUGGAACUGCCUCUAAAACUCCUAAUCUUGAGUUCGAGAGAGGUGAGUGGAAUUCCGAGUGUAGAGGUGAAAUUCGUAGAUAUUCGGAGGAACACCAGUGGCGAAGGCGGCUCACUGGCUCGAUACUGACGCUGAGGUACGAAAGCGUGGGGAGCAAACAGG